CUCUGUGCCAUUUUACACAGCGUGGGAAAGUUUUUUGGAAUUUUCCAACGCUGUGUAAAAUGACACAGAG
rnacentral:pre_miRNA from 1 species